CUUCCAUAUGCCACUUUCUUGUGCAAUGGAUUAAACAAAAGUUUUUAAAAUGAGUAAUAAUUACCACUGUUUACUGAGCGCCUCCUGAGUGUCUAGCAGCUUCACAUAUUCUCCCUCGCUUGAUCUUCCCAAAAGUCCUGGGUGCACCCCCUUUUACAGAUGAGAAAACUGAGGCUCAGAAAUGCCAAUGAAAUUCUCAAGCUCACACAACUAGUAAAUGCUGCCACUAAUACUGGAUCUGGGUCUUCUAAAUCCAAGGUUUAGAAGAUUUAGAAGAUCCUAGAAAGUGUUCUAGAAGGCCCACAAGAGCAAGCUCGUGAGAAGGGAAUAGAAUGGCACUUACAGACCGUCCAGUUCUUUCUCCGCCCACUUUAGUUCCACUCCUGAAACCGAAAGAAUUGGUUUCUUGUUGCUCCAGUGUGCAGAGCUGACACGAGCAGUUGGGGGCUGUGAGGAGAUGCCUGCACUCAUUGGGCCAAAGAAGGUGCAGUUUGGAAUGGACCUUUCAGCCCAGUCAAUCUAGCGCUGAUGUUUUAUAGAUGAUAAACUGAAGCCCGGAGAGUUUACGAAGGUCAUCCAAGGUCACCCGUUUAAUCAGUGAGUAGCAGAGCCAGGCUUGCCGCUACCAAAUCCUGAGCUUUUCACCUAUAAAAGAGGCAGCAGCCCAUAUGCCCCAGGCCGUGGCUGUGAGGACUAAAGGAGAUCAUGUCUUCGAAGUGCUCAGCCCGCUCAGGGCCCGGCCGAGAGCCGCUGCUGGCCCUCACCCACUCUGAACCUCGUGUCUUUGUGAAUGCGGUCGGCAAGGUCCUCAACUCAGGCAUUUGUUAAGAAAAUCCAGCGAGCUCUUGGAGGUGGCAAAGCUUUGCUUGCUUCACAAACACUCAGGAACUGCCUUUUAGAUGUCCCUGCAUGAUUCCCAGGUGGGCGACAUCAGAGUAAAGUCGACAGCAUCUGCCCCUGGCCUCUUAAAAUUAUGAAUGAUUAUGAAACAGGAAAAAGGAAAAACACGGGAAAAAUGUAAAAACUUACAUCUGCAUAUAAGUUUUACUUACUCUGUCUUCCUGUCUUCUAACAUCGCCUAGACUUCACUGAAGCAGCCCCCACACCCCUUUCUGGCAAGGAAGGCCAUCAGUUGGAAGGUAACAGAGGAUUGGCACUGGCUGAACUAGGCUUGAGUACAAGUCAGGUGCUGCCAGGUAAAAGGCUCAUAAUUUUGGGGGGAGCUGUGUGCAUGUGUGUCAUGAGCUGAGAGUACUGUGGGUUCCACCCAACAUGCCACGGGCCGGGACCGCACGAGGCGCUGAAGGCCAGCAGGGCCCAGGGCCCUUCUGUUCUUGGUUCAGCAGCGUCUCACCUCCUCUUCCCUCUACACCUGCCUUCAGGCCCCUUCUCAGGAGGAAGACAACCCUUGCCUUUGUGUCUUUUACUUUGCUUCUUCUAGACUCCGAAUAUUCAAGCUGCUUGUCGAAGGCUGCACCGUCAGGCGUGAGUGGGAGGUGAGGAAGUAGAGAUAGGUUGUGUAGACAAAUACUGCAAGGCGUUUGGCUGUGAAAAGAUGGCAAGAGAAAGAACAACACUAAGAGAGAGUUGGAAUUAAAGCAGUGUUUUUACGGAGUGGUGUUUAUUCUGAUGUGGAAGAGACUGGAGCCCAUUUGAAAGCUUUUGGGGCAGAGCGAGCAGAGAGGAAAAGGCUGGAAGGACCGGCUGGAACUGUAGCACAAGGCCCCCGAGAAAGCACGAGGAGUGAGGUCCAGCGCUCAGGGCCGCACCAGCCUCACCAGGAGGACGGCGCCUCUUCUGCCCCAGUAGGAAGGGAGGAGGGCAACAGGGAGCCACGCGUGCACCCAAUCUGCGCAGACACAGCAGCUCCCAGAGCUCAGCACAGGCUGUCUGUGACCUCGUGCCAGGCGCUGUCUUGGUGCUCCACAUCCAUGAAUGGCCGUCUUCACCUCAAUCUGCAAGUAAACCAGAGCUCUCUACUCGUCAGCAACAGAAACUGCUUCUGGCGAAUACAUACCAGAAAGGAAUGCAAAAUUUCAAAAGGAAAGCUGGGAACCCAGCCCAGAAAGACAGGCAGAGAAGCGAGCUGCUCCAGGGCUUUGCAGGAAUUGCCCGUGGGCUCAGGAAUUGCCCGUGGGCUCGUCCAGGAGCCCCUGUGACAACCGGUGAGCUCAGACCACUCAGCCACAAGUCAGGAAGGGAAGGUCGGGGCAGCCCAGCGGAGGCUGUGAUCCUGCCAUGGCUGGAGGAUAGUUGGGCCAGACUGCACCCACAUCACCUUGAUCAUUCACCCAAGUGAAUUUUACUCCUGGUCCCAAAGGAGAUGGAAUGGAUGUUGGACAAAAAGAAAUAGAUGCCUGCCACGUUUGGUAACAGUUUCUCCCCGUCAAAUUUUUUUUAGGUAUCAUUUACAUACAAGCAAUAAUGUUUCAAAUUGACCCCUGCUCCGUGGCUGAACAGCUCUGAUUGUUAGAAAAUCCUUCCAUAAGUGUUGAUUCCACUUCUGUCGCCCUGAAUCAAAAGAGGGGUCGGAGGACGGUGGAACUGGGAAACGUGUCGUCUGAGGAUCAGUUAAGGAAGCUGGUGGAAGGGCAGCUUGGAGGUGAGAAGGAGACUUCAGUGAAACGAGCUGUCGUCACUGUGCUUCCACGGAGCUGCCUGCCAUGUAGUGAAGAAUGAGAGCUGUCCUCUCCCUGGGGACCACAUCUAGAAUGAAUGGGUGGAAGCUCAAAGGAGGCAAAUGUCAUCUCAACAAAUGGGAGAAGUUUUAAGAAUUAGAACUGCCCCGCUCUGGAGAGCAGGAAGCCCCGUAUGUCAAGGGAUAGGCCAGUAGGAAUUCCAGCACGAAGCGGGGUUGGGUUACAUGAUUUCUAAAGCAUUCUUUGAACUCUGAGAGUCUGUGGUCCUAUGAUCCUUAGUUAUUUGCAAAUCUAAGAGUCCUGCUGAAAGGGGCUCCUCGCCUUUCACAGAGACUCAAUUGCAUCCCUGCCUCAGGCUCAGCUUCUUUUCACGUGGUUUUCUUGAAAGCCUGUGUUUGUGGGAGAACGCCUCACACAGUGCUCACUGCAGGAGAAUGCUGAGAUUUCCUCAACCAAGCGCAGCAAGCAGGAGAGGGGAGGAC
ensembl:lncRNA